rnacentral:rRNA from 1 species
AUUGAACGCUGGCGGCAGGCCUAACACAUGCAAGUCGAGCGCGAAAGUUCUUCGGAAUGAGUAAAGCGGCGGACGGGUGAGUAAUACAUGGGAAUCUGCCUGGUAGUGGGGGACAACGUUUCGAAAGGAACGCUAAUACCGCAUACGCCCUACGGGGGAAAGGGGGGAUCGGCAAGACCUCUCGCUAUCAGAUGAGCCCA